AAUUUAAUGGAAUGGGUUUUGGCUCGUGCAUCGAUGAAGAACUCAGACAAGUGCAAUGAGCAGCGUAAACUGUAGAAUUUAUUGAGUCGUGGAACGCAAAUGGCGCCGCUGUUGGCUUUUCCUAGGAGCAUGUCUGUAUAAGUAUCG
rnacentral:rRNA from 2 species